AAAUGUCUGAGCUUUAAGGAAGGUAUUCUCAGCAUCUACAAGGUCAGCCUCUCAAGGCAUCAAUACUCUUCCAGUGCCUUCUAAGUGUUUGCCAUAUAGUGUUCCAAAUUUUCUGCAUCCUCAAUAAAGCAGGAAUCUGGACUGAAACCUACAGUACAUGGUUAUACUACAAAUCUCCAUGCCAAUAAGAGUUAAAAGGAUAAAAUUCAUAUCAAAGUCAAGAUAAACACCUCCUAAAGAGG
rnacentral:lncRNA from 1 species